rnacentral:lncRNA from 1 species
CCCUAACCCGCCCUGACCCCCAUUAGCAUUGUGAGCAGCCUGUCGCGGCCCUCCCACGCCCCUGCCCCGGCUCUGCAGGCCCGGACGCUCGCGUGUGAAGAGGUUUGCUUGGCUUUUGUAGAAGGAGACCCGUACACGUGAUUCUGCAGCUUGCUUUUUCUCACUGCUCACUCCUACCGAGGACGUGGAAGUGCAAAGACCUCUUGAGAUUUCUAAAUUUGGGCAGAGUGGACAGGGCUGUGCAGGGUGCCCGUGUGCUAAAAAUACCAGCCCGGGUCUGGCUGGAAGCUGCACGCACAGAGCAGGCAAGAUGCGGAACCAGGACUGGCAGUGCACCGGCGUCCUCGAGAAAGCCUCUUCAAUCUCCUCCAGAGAGCCUCGGCGUCUACACUCGUGCCCCCACCCCAGGCCCCGUGCGGAGGGGUGCCAGUCUCCAGAAUCCUGGACAGACAGCUUCAGUGCAGCGGCCCGAGAAUGCCCGGAGCCCACCCCCCAUCCACCCGCCACGCAAGCAUCCCUCUGGAGAUGGAGCGGAGACCCUGCCGUGUGGCCCGCACAGCCCCGUCUUCGCAGCCCCAUCUUCACUGGCAGCCCUGCUGCCUCUGACUCAUUUGUUAAAGGAAAUGAUGGGGAAACUGAGGCUCACUAGAACGAAGAAGGCGAACCCAGGAGGUGGAUACCAGCGCCUCUGCACGCCCGGCCAGCAAAGCAGAGAACCCCUUGGAAAACUGCUGCUGCCAGCUCGUGCCUCGCAAGGCAGGGGCGGCAGCCGGAUGACGUCUGCGUUGACAGACUGGUUGUUCCUCCUGAUUCUUCCAGGCCACACGACAGCUGCAUAUUAAACUCAGGGGAUGGGGAAACAAAUGGUGGCAUAUCCAAUGGCGGAAUAUUCCAGAUCUCUGAGAACAGAUGAGGCACCAGCCACACGGAUGCAUCUCCCUACACAGUGUCGAGAGAAAGAAGCCAGACCACAAGAACACACUGUGUACUUCCGUGCACAGACGGCUCAAAAGCAG